UACAGAGGGGGCGAGCGUUGUUCGGAAUUACUGGGCGUAAAGCGUGCGUAGGUGGUUUGUUAAGUCUGAUGUGAAAGCCCUGGGCUCAACCUGGGAACUGCAUUGGAAACUGGCUUACUAGAGUGCGGUAGAGGGGUGUGGAAUUCCCGGUGUAGCAGUGAAAUGCGUAGAUAUCGGGAGGAACAUCUGUGGCGAAGGCGACACUCUGGACCAGCACUGACACUGAGGCACGAAAGCGUGGGGAGCAAACAGG
rnacentral:rRNA from 1 species